GGUUGGCUAGCUCAGUUGGUUAGAGCGUCGAGCUAAUAUAUCUGCAAAGAUUGUGUAACUCGAAGGUCGUGGGUUCGACCCCCCCGCUGACCA
rnacentral:tRNA from 1 species